AGUCGAGCGAACGGACGAGAAGCUUGCUUCUCUGAUGUUAGCGGCGGACGGGUGAGUAACACGUGGAUAACCUACCUAUAAGACUGGGAUAACUUCGGGAAACCGGAGCUAAUACCGGAUAAUAUUUUGAACCGCAUGGUUCAAAAGUGAAAGACGGUCUUGCUGUCACUUAUAGAUGGAUCCGCGCUGCAUUAGCUAGUUGGUAAGGUAACGGCUUACCAAGGCAACGAUGCAUAGCCGACCUGAGAGGGUGAUCGGCCACACUGGAACUGAGACACGGUCCAGACUCCUACGGGAGGCAGCAUUAGGGAAUCUUCCGCUAUGGGCGAAAGCCUGACGGAGCAACGCCGCGUGAGUGAUGAAGGUCUUCGGAUCGUAAAACUCUGUUAUUAGGGAAGAACAUAUGUGUAAGUAACUGUGCACAUCUUGACGGUACCUAAUCAGAAAGCCAUGGCUAACUACGUGCCAGCAGCCGCGGUAAUACGUAGGUGGCAAGCGUUAUCCGGAAUUAUUGGGCGUAAAGCGCGCGUAGGCGGUUUUUUAAGUCUGAUGUGAAAGCCCACGGCUCAACCGUGGAGGGUCAUUGGAAACUGGAAAACUUGAGUGCAGAAGAGGAAAGUGGAAUUCCAUGUGUAGCGGUGAAAUGCGCAGAGAUAUGGAGGAACACCAGUGGCGAAGGCGACUUUCUGGUCUGUA
rnacentral:rRNA from 1 species